rnacentral:rRNA from 1 species
GAUGAACGCUGGCGGCGUGCCUAAUACAUGCAAGUCGAGCGAAUGGAUUAAGAGCUUGCUCUUAUGAAGUUAGCGGCGGACGGGUGAGUAACACGUGGGUAACCUGCCCAUAAGACUGGGAUAACUCCGUGAAACCGGGGCUAAUACCGGAUAACAUUUUGAACCGCAUGGUUCGAAAUUGAAAGGCGGCUUCGGCUGUCACUUAUGGAUGGACACGCGUCGCAGUAGCUAGUUGGUGAGGUAACGGCUCACCAAGGCAACGAUGCGUAGCCGACCUGAGAGGGUGAUCGGCCACACUGGGACUGAGACACGGCCCAGACUCCUACGGGAGGCAGCAGUAGGGAAUCUUCCGCAAUGGACGAAAGUCUGACGGAGCAACGCCGCGUGAGUGAUGAAGGCUUUCGGGUCGUAAAACUCUGUUGUUAGGGAAGAACAAGUGCUAGUUGAAUAAGCUGACACCUUGACGGUACCUAACCAGAAAGCCACGGCUAACUACGUGCCAGCCGCCGCGGUAA